rnacentral:rRNA from 1 species
UACGUAGGGUGCGAGCGUUGUCCGGAAUUACUGGGCGUAAAGAGCUCGUAGGCGGUUUGUCGCGUCUGCUGUGAAAACUCGGGGCUUAACUCCGGGCCUGCAGUGGGUACGGGCAGACUAGAGUGCGGUAGGGGAGACUGGAAUUCCUGGUGUAGCGGUGAAAUGCGCAGAUAUCAAGAGGAACACCUGCGGCGAAGGCGGGUUGCUGGGCCGACACUGACGUGAUGCGCGAAAGCUAGGGGAGCGAACGGG